rnacentral:lncRNA from 1 species
GGAAGGGGCAAAGGGUUUCUCUCUGGCCUCUUUUAUAAGGGUUGGAACUCCAAUAUGGUGCUGGUAGCCAGCUGUGACCAAGAAGAGGACAACCGGAGCAACAAUCUUAGACACAAGGAUGGAAGCUGUAAGGCAGGGGAGGAGUUCCAGGGUCCCUGGAGAACUUCAUGGAGCUGAGGACGUCCUUCCUGUUUUGUAGUGUUGCAUGAGAGAGGAAUAACAUUCUAUAUUAUUUGGCUGGGCGCGGUGGCUCAUGCCUGUAAUCCCAGCACUUUGGGAGGCCGAGUCAUAGGCAGCAGAUCCCUGUGGAUGAGCUUCAACUUCAGGGAGGUCAGCCACUUACUAGCUCUCUAAUCCAGGAUUACCAUAUAGAAUAAAUGAGAUAACACCUGCAAAGCAUUUCACAUCCUUCUUGGAACACGAAUUGAGAAGAAUGAUUCUUAAUUUAAAAAGUAGAAGGGUGCAUCACCCAGCCUCUCAUUGGUUGUACCUGCGGUGUGGCAUUUCAUCCAAACCUGGAAGUGGAAGUGCAGGUGGAAGACCAGCCAAUAGAGAAAAAAGGACACAGUCAAGGGAAUCUGAGAAGGCACACAGGGUUUGUGUCCAACAUACCAUUAAAGAACUCCAUGCAAGAGAGUGACAUGGUCUGGCAACACUUGGGGGGACCGCUUAGAGAGGGUUGAGAAUGGAUGUAGGGAGAUCAGUGGUGGAGUAUUGCCAUGAUCCAGACGAGAGAAGACAGUGUCUGGGGCUGGCAUUUGAUGUAGAGAUGGAGAAAGUGAAUGGACAUCAGAAAUUUUAGGAGGUAAAAUUGCCAGGGUUGAGGGAUAGGUUGAAUUUGAGAAAUAGAGAAAGGCAUCAAGGAUGUCUGGGUUUCUGACCUGAGCAGCCCAGCCGAUGGUGGUGUCAUUGGCUGAGAUAAGAAUCUGAGGUAGUGAGGCAAGUCUGGGAGGAAAGAUCCUUGGGAUUUGAACUUGUGCCUAUGAAAAGCCCAGUUGGAGACUUGGCAUAGGCAACUGCAAGUAGGAGCCUGAUUAUCGGAGUAGUGGAUGUGGGUAGCAGGGAUUGCAUAUAGAUGAGAAAAGGAAGCUUAAAUAACCUAAACACUUAAUGGCUCUGUAGAGAAGAUUGGGUCUGCAAAGGAGAAAAAGAAACCACAGGCAAAGAGGUAGGAGGAAAAUGAGAAGGGCUUUGGUCCUCAAAGCCCAGGGACUUGGGUUUUAGGAGGGAAUGGUCCCAGAGAGACUAGGGGACAUAAGGACUGAGUUCUUUCUGGCAAUGUGGUGGUCAUUAAUUAUUUUAGCUAAAGUGAUGAGGCUGAGGAGUGAGGGGAGCGGAUGAAAUUGAAGUGGAGUAUAGACGACUCAUUUGAGAAGUUUCGCUGGGAAGGAGAGAAGAAAGAAUAGUUGUAGGAAGGGGCUGUGGUUUCAGAGAGGUGUUUUUGUUUUGUGCUGAGAGAGACUCAAGCAUGCUUAAGUGUAAAUGGGAAGGAUUCGGGUGUCAGAGAAGCGUUGGAAAUAGAAGGGAGAGGAGACAUUUUCUAGUGUGGGGCUCUGGGGGCUGGGAUCCAGAACACAGGUGCAGGGCUUGACCUAA